GAACGCUGGCGGCAUGCCUAACACAUGCAAGUCGAACGGUAACGCGGAGAGCUUGCUCUCUGGCGACGAGUGGCGGACGGGUGAGUAACACUUAGGAAUCUGCCCAGUAGUGGGGGACAACAUUCGGAAACGGAUGCUAAUACCGCAUACGCACUACGGUGGAAAGUGGGGGAUCUUCGGACCUCACGCUAUUGGAUGAGCCUAAGUCGGAUUAGCUUGUUGGUGAGGUAAUAGCUCACCAAGGCGACGAUCCGUAGCUGGUCUGAGAGGACGAUCAGCCACACUGGGACUGAGACACGGCCCAGACUCCUACGGGAGGCAGCAGUGGGGAAUAUUGGACAAUGGGCGCAAGCCUGAUCCAGCAAUGCCGCGUGUGUGAAGAAGGCCUGCGGGUUGUAAAGCACUUUCAGUAGAGAAGAAAAGCCUAGGGUUAAUACCCCUGAGUCUUGACGUAACCUACAGAAGAAGCACCGGCUAACUCCGUG
rnacentral:rRNA from 1 species